rnacentral:rRNA from 1 species
CGCACUGCUCAGUAACACGUAGUUAACUUGCCCUUGGGUGGGGGAUAAUCUUGCGAAAGUGAGGCUAAUACCCCAUAACUUAUCGAGGCUGGAAUGCACGAUAGGUCAAAGCUCAGGCGCCCAAGGAUAGGACUGCGGCGUAUCAAGGUCGUUGUCAGUGUAAAGAACUGACAAGCCGAUAACGCGUAGGGGCCAUGAGAGUGGGAGCCUCGAGAUGCGCUCUGAGACAUGAGCGCAGGUCCUACGGGACGCAGCAGGCGCGAAAACUUUCCAAUUGCUUCACGGCUGAGAAGGGAACCUUGAGUGGACAUGCUUUUGCAUGUUCUUUUGCCAAGUCCAAACAGCUUGGCGAAUAAGGGCCGGGUAAGACGGGUGCCAGCCGCCGCGGUAAUACCCGCGGCCCGAAUGGCUAUCGCGUUUAUUGGGUCUAAAGCGUCCGUAGCCGGUUUGGCAAGUCCCUUGUGAAAUCUGGCAGCUAACUGUCAGGCGUGCGGGGGAUACUACCGAACUUGGGAUCGGGAUAGGGACAAGGUAUUCCGCGUGUAGGGGUUAAAUCCUUUAAUCCGCGGAGGACCACCUGUGGCGAAGGCGUUGUCCUGGAACGAGUCCGACGGUGAGGGACGAAAGCUGGGGGAGCGAAUG